AAUGUUUUCGGCAAGGUAUAUUGGUUUUCGGGACAUUUGAAAGUUGAAUUGGGGGUCGCCGCGGAUAUAUUUAUUAUUCAUAGGCGUCGUGGGUUGUUGCGUGGUGGUCAUGGGGCAUCAGUUGGUGAUUUAUAACAUUUUGCUUUGAUUUCUGAUUGCUGAUGAUUUAAAUUAUAUGAUGGUUUACUGUGCGGAACCUUCGUGUAGAAAUGGGUCCGGGAGGAGAAAUAACCAGGCGUCCGGCACCAAAUAUCAUAAGUUCCCAGCGGAUGAAGUGAUGGCAAGGCGAUGGUGGCAGGUCAUAAAAAGAGGGGAGCCGUUCCCGAAGAACUUCCGCCAGUAUUGUUUGUGUUCUUCACAUUUUGUAACUGCUGAUUAUGAAAGAGACCUCAGGUCAGAACUGCUUAAGUUGUCCCCGCAGUAUUCUGCCAUGAAGCUGCUGCCUACAUCAGUCCCAUCCAGGAACCUGACUCGUCCUCCAAGAGUCACAACACCAAGGAGUGGUGCUGCUACACAGAGAGGUGGAGAGGAAGAUGAGUCAAGGCAGGUGCAAGAAGAAGGAGAACAAGCAGCUCCCAAAGGCUCAUCACUCCAAGCAGAAGAAUGCCUGCAUUCAGAUGCAUCUGUACAGACGAAGUGUGAGCCUUCAAAGUGUACCAGAUGCCCAGCACUUGAGGCUGAACUGGCAAGCCUGAAGAGCAAACUGGCAGAGCUACACCAGCUGCAAGCCCCCUCAAGUGCACUGAAACGACACCUGUUCACAGACCAGCAGGCUGAGAACCUCUUCACUGGCAAGGCACCAUACCGGUGGGACGACGAAUCAGUGUACAAGGCUCUGGAGGUCAGAGUCAACACGUCCAGGGUGCAGUACGAGUGGCUCCGAAACCACUGCUUGCCCCUGCCAAGUCUGUCUACCCUACAGAGGUGGCUCGCUGACUUCGUUUUGGCGCCCAACUCAUCUGAUGUGCAGGUCAGGAUGCUCAGGAGACUCCUCUCGUCCAUGAGUGAGCAGGACAGGUGCUGCUGCAUCAUGAUGGAUGAAAUGGACAUCAUGGGUGUGGCCACCUAUGACAACCAGCUUGAUCAGAUCUUGGGUCCCCACAAACACCUUCAGCUCUUCCUUGUGAGUGGGAUCUUCACGACAUGGAAGCUUCCCAUGUUGUACGCGUUCGACACGCCUGUGACCAAGGAACUGCUGCUGAAGCUGAUCAAGGCUGUCGAAGGAGCCGGCGGCCGAGUCGUCAGCACCGUCAGCGACAUGGGCUCGGGCAACCUGGCGCUGUGGCGGAGCCUGGGCAUCGGCCACGACGCUGAAGCGUCCAUCUGCACUACCCCGCCGACCCUUCGAGGAUGCUUGCACAUUGUCAUCAGCACCAUCAUAUCCUAACCCAUCAUUUGAUCAUAUCCUUCUAUACCUGACUACCAUAUCCAAUUCUGUCCUUUCCUCAGACGGAUUUGGGUGUUCGCCGACCCUCCCCACAUCAUGAAGCGUUUGCGUAACCACAUCCUCGACAGCGUCAUCCACACGAGGCAGGGUGGCCGCGUGGACCGCGCUCUCAUCCAGGACCUCCUCGCCAUCGACGGAGACUCGGAGCUGAAGCUUCUUCACAAACUACAACCGGCCACACAUGUCGAGGUCGUUGGCAUGGCUCGGCAGAAAGUGCGCCCAGCCUACCAACUGCUGAGCGCGUCAUGCGCCCUGGCACUUCGGCGUUACACCGAGAAGAAAGUGGAGGCAGACUUCUUCAGCAUCUUGGACGCCGGGAUGGACGUCCUAAACGCAGGUCACCCCGCUGACGUGAAGUUACUCCGGCGUGGCUACUCUGGCCGACCGGAGCAGGAAGACGCCCUGACGGCCCUGGUCGAGGAAGUGGCGGCGUUCCGGGUCGGCAAAGCGGGCUUCCUCUACCCUUUCCAAAAGGGCCUUCUGGUCACCGUCCGUGCAGUGCGAGGUGUGCUGGCGGACCUCCAGGCCAGGUUCGGCGACAACACCUACCUGUUGACGCGACACCUAACGCAGGACCGACUGGAGAGUUUCUUCGGUCUGGUGCGGGGACGCGGCGGUGGGAACCUGAACCCCACGCCCACAGAGGCGAAGGCCCGUCUGCGGCUGCUGACGCUGCUGCAGCUGACCCGGCACGGCGUCAGCCCGAAAUGUACAGGUGACGGCGGAGAGACGGACGCCGUGCCUGACGUCUCGCAGCCGGAGCCCGACGCCAUGCCUGCGGCGCAGCCGGAGCCCGACGCCGUGCCUGCGGCGCAGCAGGAGCUCGACGAGGAGCCGCCGCCGCCUCCGCAGCUGCUGGAGCUGGAGGAGGUUUGCCCCGCGCCCACGGAGGAGAUCCCGGAGGGGACUGAACACCUGGUGCAGGAGCCGGACGACGAGCCGUCGCCGGAUGCUGAGGAGGAGGCAGAACGGGAGCUUCUGGACGCCGAGCUCGGAGAGGCGUGCCAUGACACGGGUGAACCUGAACAGGAAAUGGAGCCACGUGAACAGACUAGCGAGCUGGUCUCCCUGCUGGCAGAGGCAGGUUCAGUCCACAUCCCGGGUCAGCCGUCUGGUGCCCGUGAUUGUGAAACCGGAGUGCUGGCGUCCGACAGUGCUCUGGCUCACGUCGCAGGUUACGUUGCGCGAAAGCGCCCGCGAUCCCUCGGCGCACCCUCCGCCCAUGCCGAGGACGUCCCCGUCCAGGCACUGUGGACGCGGCUGCGCAGUGUUGGAGGUAUGACUGUUCCCACCGAGUCUUUCUUGGAACUGUGCAGGGAGCUCGAGACCUGUUUCUGUGCCUACCAUGCGAUGCACCCCGAUGGGCUCAGUCGAGAGCGCGGCGUCAUCCGCAACGCCACCCGUAUGAUGGUCGAGAAAUAUUCGCGGAGCGUGCCGUGUGACAAAAUCCUGAAAGUGUUCGUUCGUGUGCGAACCUUUAUCCGCCUGCGAACAGUGAACUCGACUCGACGUGCGGAGACGCUGGCUAAGCGGAAGGUGCGGAAGCUGCGUCACCACGCACAGUAAACAGAUUGGCAGAGGCACACAUCAUUCAUUACAUCGCGAUAUUAUUUAUUGAUCUCUUGAGCCUUUCUUUUUUGUUACAGCUGGGUAGUCGUUCAGUUUGUGCCUGAAUCGAGUUUCCAGACCUUCUGCUAGCUACCGUCUCCACACGGCGAACUGGGUCCAAUUUGUGACAGGUGCUCGAAAAUGCGUCCGUGUACAGUGAGGGCGGAAAUGAUGUGAUGUCGCUUAGGAGCCACUCGUGAUGUAUCGUUUUCAUGAUUCAUUUUCCUUAAACUAGCUUGACUGUUAGCUGGCAACGUGCCAUUUUAUGUUGCACACAUCUGCGAUGAUCGACGGCCAGCGCCUGCUGGCGGCACCGCUGCCGCCGCCCAGCGCCGCCUCUGCCCGCCGCCGGCGCCCAGCAGCCACCUGCGGUGGAGGCUGUCCCCGACGCACCCCGACGCUCACGCCGAAGGCGCCUCGCGCGGCGUCGCCUCCAAGUUCGGUGGGGCGCAAUCUCUUACCGCGGGCGAGGGGACAAUUGAGCUUCAUGUUGCACAGUAUUUGUUGAUUUCCGUUAUUGUCCGCAACAAUUGUCUCAAGGGAGAGAUGUGAUGUCGUCUGAUGUAAGAUGAUAUGUGAUGUGAUGGAGAUGUGAUUCCGUCUACCCACUAACCCCUCCCCUCGCUGAAUACAGCUCUGUUCCUGA
rnacentral:misc_RNA from 1 species